CCAAACCCAGUCCGAUAAAACCAGUUCAGGUCGGGUUUAAAUCUUGAGACAUGCCCAACUGGUUUCAUUAUUCUGGUAUGAUGGAUGUCGGUUCAGGUCGGAUAAAUACCACCCACCCGAUCGGGUAAAUAGAUAUCCGAACUUUGAGCUACUUUUUUUCAUUUCAUAUUUCCCAUUUUAUGAUUUCAAUUGAUACUGAGAUUAUUGAGCAAAAUCUCACAUAAGCUCCUCGAUAUCUUUCUAUCCCUAUAUCCUUUCCCAAUCCUGAUCCUCUCCGAUUUGUAUUCCCUUAUGUUCAGCGAUUUUGAAACUGUAGAAUCUCUGUUAUUACAUAAGUAAAUGCGAUUGCUCAAACUGGAGAUACAAAACAACUGAAAGUCGUUGUCUUCUUUGUUAGAGAUGUCAAGAAAUCACUCAGAGGUGCUUCCUGCAAUUUUGUUUGAGUUUCUGAGACUGUGAGAUUUCAGAGUUGGAGCUGUGACACUUGCAGGCUCUUAUUUAAGCUCAGGUGCGAUUGUGUCCUUUAUGACAUCAUUAGAUUUCUUGAUCGAGCCUGUCCAUGCAUAUACAAAUCUACUUUUGCUUAGUUCAGUAUACUUGAGAAUCUAAAGAAGGUUUAUACAUAACUAUCUCUCUCUUUUACUUUCACUUGUAUGCUACUAACUCUAUGGUAUAUAGCCCCAAAAGUUCUUCCACGGUUUGCCUUUACUUCUUGUAUAUAGAUGUACGCAAUGAAGGCACCUUUGUGCUCCACACUGAAAAUAGUAAGAAAACAAUGGAAGCGGCAGUGGUAGUGAGCAGAGGAGGCGACUGCGGUAACUAGCAAAAAUUGCUUCUCAACACUUGAUUGCAGAGAUGUAAGGGCUGGACCUUGAAGACUGUCGUGAAAAAGAGCCUCUUGGUCAUGGGUUUUAUGCAGACUUCACUAUGGCAACAAGGAUAACAAUGCCAGACUUCAUCACCGAGUGUGUUGUAUUUUGCUUUGAGUUCAUGUGUUUCAUGAAUUGAUUUUUUAUGUUUUGAAUCUUUAAUGG